rnacentral:rRNA from 1 species
AGAUUGAACGCUGGCGGCAGGCCUAACACAUGCAAGUCGAGCGGUAGAGAGGUGCUUGCACCUCUUGAGAGCGGCGGACGGGUGAGUAAUGCCUAGGAAUCUGCCUAGUGGUGGGGGAUAACGUUCGGAAACGGACGCUAAUACCGCAUACGUCCUACGGGAGAAAGCGGGGGACCUUCGGGCCUCGCGCCAUUAGAUGAGCCUAGGUCGGAUUAGCUAGUUGGUGAGGUAAUGGCUCACCAAGGCGACGAUCCGUAACUGGUCUGAGAGGAUGAUCAGUCACACUGGAACUGAGACACGGUCCAGACUCCUAGGGAGCAGCAGUGGGGGAAUAUUGGACAA